GGGGUCGACUGGUUUUGACAGCGAGUGGAAUUGAUUAGUAAGCACGUCGAGCUUUGUACUUUUAGCUCGUAAAUCCAAAGGUACGACCUUAUAAACGGCGAAAAUAAUUACGCUUUAGCUGCUUAAUCCGAAGUUUAGUACGAUUUGCCCAGUUCCUACAAGGUAGGAAAGCUGAAUUCACCUCAAAAGCCUUGGUUUGUGGCGGUUGGUUAUGGUGAACCGGAAAAAUAAACCUAGGAAAGGUAAUGCUUUAAAUCCUUUCUGACACUAAUAAAGCUAAGCAAAAAGUGGCUGUUUUUGGCCUGCCUUUUUGUCGAAAAAAUAAUCAAAAACUAAGCGUGUAGAAAGCUAUUUGAUUGCUUGUUUGGACCCGAGUUCGAUUCUCGGCGACUCCACCA
rnacentral:tmRNA from 1 species